CGGGGUGCACCAGGCGCGAAAACUCUACAAUGCAGGCAACUGCGAUAGGGGAACAUCGAGUGAUCCUCAUAUUGGGGGUCUGUCCCACCGUCUAAAAAACGGUGGUUAGCAAGGGCCGGGCAAGACCGGUGCCAGCCGCCGCGGUAAUACCGGCGGCUCGAGUGGUGGCCGAUAUUAUUGAGUCUAAAGGGUCCGUAGCCGGCUUUGCAAGUCUCUCGGGAAAUCCAGCGGCUUAACCGUUGGUCGUCCGGGGGGUACUACAUUGCUUGGGACUGGGAGAGGUAGGAGGUACUCAGGGGGUAGGAGUGAAAUCCUGUAAUCCUCUGGGGACCACCGGUGGCGAAGGCGUCCUACCAGAACAGGUCCGACGGUGAGGGACGAAAGCUAGGGGCACGAACCGGAUUAGAUACCCGGGUAGUCCUAGCCGUAAACGAUGCUCGCUAGGUGUCACAACAGUCGUGAACUGUUGUGGUGCCGUAGGGAAGCCGUGAAGCGAGCCACUUGGGAAGUACGACCGCAAGGUUGAAACUUAAAGGAAUUGGCGGGGGAGCAC
rnacentral:rRNA from 1 species